CCUGUCCCAGAGGUUAAAGUUGUGUGAAAUCAGUCAGCCAUAACCGUGAAGGAAGUAGCCCCAGCGAGUGUUAGUGAUAUAGCUCACCUGGCCCCAGAGGAGAUCAAGCUGAGAGAAUAUCGUCAUCAGCACAACAGCCCUGGUAUUGGUACAGGAGUAACUGACACCAACAGGCAAAUAAAUAAUGGUGGUGACCCUGAGAGAACUGCUUCUGCUGGCUGCCACUCACCUGAUGAUUGCAACGGGGAAUUAACAAAGGAGAGGGACGGCCCGAGUCUGAAACUGUGCAGGAACACGUAGGACCGGGGAAGGCCUUUCUCUACCGCCUCUGGCCAUAGUAUAAUCAAUGAGCUGCAGAGGAAGAACACAGAACUCGAAGAAAAACUUAGACUCCUACAGUCUGAAAAGUCCAGCGUCCAGCUCCAUGUGCAGGAGCUACAAAGAAAGCUGGCUAGGGCCAAGCUUCUGCUUCCACAGGUGCAGCUACAGGAGGAGAUCGAGAACCCGAAGCAGGAGCUUCACAGGCUGAAAGGAGAGCUCCAAGAACAACUGGAUGAAAAUAAUCGCUGGGAAUGCCUCUACCAGGAGCAGGAGGAGAAGAUCUGGAAGGAGGAGGAGAAGAUACAGGAGUGGGAGCAGAAAAUACGGGAGCAGGAAGAAAAGAUGCAGCAGCAGGAGGAGGAGAUGCGGGAGGAAAAAAAGAGGCUCUGGGAUGAGAAGGAGCUGCUGAGGGAGCAGGAGGAGCAGAUGGAGAAGCAGGAGGCGAUGAUGCAGGAAGAGAAGCAGCUAAGGGAGCAGAUGUGGGAGAAGGAGAGGAGGCGGAAGCAAGAGGAGCAGAUGAGAGAGCAGGAGGACAUGACGUGGCUCAAGGAGAAGAUGGGGGAGGAGGAGACGAUGUGAGAAUGGGAGAAGACUAUGCGGGAGCAGAAUUGUUGUAAAAUACGGGCUGGGUGCGGUGUCUCAUGCCUGUCAUCCCAGCACUUUGGGAGGCUGAGGCAGGCAGAUCAAGAGAUUGAGACCAUCCUGGCCAAUAUUGUGAAAUCCUGUCUCUAAAAAAGUACAAAAAUUAUCGGUGUGGUGGCGCGUGCCUGUAGUCCCAGCUACUUGGGAGGCUUACGCAGGAGAAUCAUUUGAACCAGGGAGACAGAGAUUGCAGUCAGCCAAGAUCACGUCACUGUACUCCAGCCUGGUGACAUAGUGACACUUUGUCUCAAAAAAUAAAAAUAAUAAAAUCUUUUAAAAUUUAAAACAUAUUCAGUCAAAUGCCUAGAUCUGAAGUGUACAUUUUUAUGAGUUUUGACAAAUGCAUUACUCAUGUAACUCACUUCCUUUCAAGAUACGGAAUAUUUCUAUCAUCCAGAAAGUUCUGUGCUUUAAUCCUGUCC
rnacentral:lncRNA from 1 species